rnacentral:rRNA from 1 species
CCCUUAGAUGUUCUGGGCCGCACGCGUGCUACACUGAGUGGAUCAGCGGGUCAGGUUGCGCGAAAGCGUUUCCUAAUCUUUAAAUCCGCUCGUGAUGGGGAUUGACGGUUGCAAUUUUCUGUCAUGAACGAGGAAUACCUUGUAAGCGCGGGUCAUCAUCCCGCGCUGAAUACGUCCCUGCCCUUUGUACACACCGCCCGUCGCUCCUACCGAUUGAGUGGUCCGGUGAGGCUUUGGGAUCUGAGCGGAAAGAGCGUUUCGCUGUUUCUGCCCGGAAAACUCAGUCGAACCUUAUCAUUUAGAGGAAGGUGAAGUCGUAACA